rnacentral:rRNA from 1 species
UACGGAGGGAGCUAGCGUUAUUCGGAAUUACUGGGCGUAAAGAGCGCGCAGGCGGUCGUUCAAGUCGAGUGUGAAAGCCCCCGGCUCAACUGGGGAGGGUCACUCGAUACUGAUCGACUCGAAGGCAGGAGAGGGAAGCGGAAUUCCCGGUGUAGUGGUGAAAUGCGUAGAUAUCGGGAGGAACACCAGUGGCGAAGGCGGCUUUCUGGCCUGUUCUUGACGCUGAGGCGCG